rnacentral:rRNA from 1 species
UACGUAGGGUGCAAGCGUUGUCCGGAAUUAUUGGGCGUAAAGAGCUCGUAGGCGGUCUGUUGCGUCGGCUGUGAAACCCGGGGCUCAACUCCGGGCCUGCAGCCGAUACGGGCAGACUAGAGUUCGGCAGGGGAGACUGGAAUUCCUGGUGUAGCGGUGAAAUGCGCAGAUAUCAGGAGGAACACCAGUGGCGAAGGCGGACUCCUGGGCCGAUACUGACACUGAGGACGAAAGCCAG